AAGCGCUUGCGACCAGACCUGCGCGGGGGCGAUCAGCGGCCGUUCUCGGCCGUGCACUCGUCCCCGAUCAGGCCAGCAUCGGUUCGGGCGGUCGGACAAAGGCCUGAGGAAUGUAGCUCCCUCCGGGGUGUGUUAUAGCCUCGGGUGCAAUGCGGCCAGCCUGGACCGAGGACCGCGCUUCGGCAAGGAUGCUGGCAUAAUGGUCGUCAGCGA
rnacentral:rRNA from 1 species